rnacentral:rRNA from 1 species
UACGUAGGGAGCAAGCGUUGUCCGGAAUCAUUGGGCGUAAAGCGCGCGUAGGUGGCUUCGUAAGUCCGUUGUGAAAGUCAAAGGCUCAACCUUUGAAAGCCGAUGGAUACUGUGAAGCUAGAGUACGGAAGAGGCGAGUGGAAUUCCCGGUGUAGCGGUGAAAUGCGCAGAUAUCGGGAGGAACACCAGUAGCGAAGGCGGCACUCUGGGCCGGUACUGACGCUGAGGAGCGAAAGCGUGGGGAGCGAACAGG